CUACGGGAGGCACCAGUGGGGAAUAUUGCACAAUGGGCGCAAGCCUGAUGCAGUCAUGCCGCGUGUAUGAAGAAGGCCUUCGGGUUGUAAAGUACUUUCAGCGGGGAGGAAGGGAGUAAAGUUAAUACCUUUGCUCAUUGACGUUACCCGCAGAAGAAGCACCGGCUAACUCCGUGCCAGCAGCCGCGGUAAUACGGAGGGUGCAAGCGUUAAUCGGAAUUACUGGGCGUAAAGCGCACGCAGGCGGUUUGUUAAGUCAGAUGUGAAAUCCCCGGGCUCAACCUGGGAACUGCAUCUGAUACUGGCAAGCUUGAGUCUCGUAGAGGGGGGUAGAAUUCCAGGUGUAGCGGUGAAAUGCGUAGAGAUCUGGGGGAAUACCGGUGGCGAAGGCGGCCCCCUGGACGAAGACUGACGCUCAGGUGCGAAAGCGUGGGGAGCAAACAGGAUUAGAUACCCUUGUAGUC
rnacentral:rRNA from 1 species